UACGAAGGGUGCUAGCGUUGUUCGGAAUCACUGGGCGUAAAGCGUGCGUAGGCGGCUUUCCAAGUCAGGGGUGAAAUCCUGGGGCUCAACCCCAGAAUUGCCUUUGAAACUGGAAAGCUAGAGUAUCGGAGGGGAUAGCGGAAUUCCUAAUGUAGAGGUGAAAUUCGUAGAUAUUAGGAGGAACACCGGUGGCGAAGGCGGCUAUCUGGACGAUUACUGACGCUCUGGCACGAAAGCGUGGGGAGCAAACAGG
rnacentral:rRNA from 1 species